rnacentral:lncRNA from 1 species
CGCAGUGAUGCCUGGUGGACUCCUCUCAACAAGAUCCGUUAAUGGCAGUGCCAUUCGAUGACAUACGUCGCUCGUGGUGAGCCGCCAAUUUUCGUUUCGUCCGACAAUUGCUGGCCAUAUAUGCAACGAGAGAAACUGCAGCGUCUCAUAUGUCUCAUGUCGUGCCUGUCGUGUCGUUCUAAUCACAAUUGCCUGGCCUCC